AAGCUUUUUGGUGAGGAUGGCACCAAACUGCCUGUAAGAAUAACCUGGAGAGACUGACAGCACAGGUCAGCAUAAUACCUGUAGCUGCCACUCAGCUUCCCUAUAUUC
ensembl:snoRNA